rnacentral:rRNA from 1 species
UUGCCUAUAUCAUAAGCGGAGGAAAAGAAACCAACCGGGAUUGCCUUAGUAACGGCGAGUGAAGCGGCAAAAGCGGAGGAAAAGAAACCAACCGGGAUUGCCUUAGUAACGGCGAGUGAAGCGGCAAAAGCUCAAAUUUGAAAUCUGGUACCUUCGGUGCCCGAGUUGUAAUUUGGAGAGGGCAACUUUGGGGCCGUUCCUUGUCUAUGUUCCUUGGAACAGGACGUCAUAGAGGGUGAGAAUCCCGUGUGGCGAGGAGUGCGGUUCUUUGUAAAGUGCCUUCGAAGAGUCGAGUUGUUUGGGAAUGCAGCUCUAAGUGGGUGGUAAAUUCCAUCUAAAGCUAAAUAUUGGCGAGAGACCGAUAGCGAACAAGUACAGUGAUGGAAAGAUGAAAAGAACUUUGAAAAGAGAGUGAAAAAGUACGUGAAAUUGUUGAAAGGGAAGGGCAUUUGAUCAGACAUGGUGUUUUGUGCCCUCUGCUCCUUGUGGGUAGGGGAAUCUCGCAUUUCACUGGGCCAGCAUCAGUUUUGGUGGCAGGAUAAAUCCAUAGGAAUGUAGCUUGCCUCGGUAAGUAUUAUAGCCUGUGGGAAUACUGCCAGCUGGGACUGAGGACUGCGACGUAAGUCAAGGAUGCUGGCAUAAUGGUUAUAUGCCGCCCGUCUUGA